UUUCCGUAGGUGAACCUGCGGAAAGAUCAUUAAUGAGUUGUCAUGGGGUUCGAUGCUGGCAGCCAAUUUUUGGAUGCAUGUGCUUGCCCUAACAAUCAUCUUCCAAACACCUGUGCACAUUUUUGAGGGAGUCUUGAGUUGGUUGCCGCUCUUGGGUGAUUUUCUCACAUUCCCUUAAAUCAUUAUACGCUAUUAACAAUGUUGAACGUGCUCUGUGCCGCAAGGCUAUUAAUAUAAUACAACUUUUAACAACGGAUCUCUUGGCUCUC
rnacentral:misc_RNA from 1 species